rnacentral:rRNA from 1 species
CGCAAUGGGCGAAAGCCUGACGGAGCGACGCCGCGUGAUUGACGAAGUCCUUUGGGAUGUAAAAAUCUUUCGUGAACUAGAAAGUUUAUUGAUCGGUUCAAGAAUAAGGGGUUGCUAAACUCGUGCCAGCAGCAACGGUAAUACGAGUGCCCCGAGCGUUAUCCGGAAUCAUUGGGCGUAAAGGGUGUGUAGAUGGUCUAGUUAGUCUUUUGUCAAAUUCUUCGGCUUAACCGGGGGUCCGCAAAAGAAACGGCUAGACUUGAGGGUGCAAGGGGUUUGCGGAACUCAUAGUGUAGGGGUGAAAUCCGUUGAUAUUAUGGGGAACACCAAAAGCGAAGGCAGCAAACUAGUGCAUUCCUGACAUUGAAACACGAAAGCGU